GACGAACGCUGGCGGCGUGCUUAACACAUGCAAGUCGAACGGAAAGGCCCUGCUUUUGUGGGGUGCUCGAGUGGCGAACGGGUGGGUAACACGUGAGUAACCUGCCCUUGACUUUGGGAUAACUUCAGGAAACUGGGGCUAAUACCGGAUAGGAGCUCCUGCUGCAUGGUGGGGGUUGGAAAGUUUCGGCGGUUGGGGAUGGACUCGCGGCUUAUCAGCUUGUUGGUGGGGUAGUGGCUUACCAAGGCUUUGACGGGUAGCCGGCCUGAGAGGGUGACCGGCACCAUGGGGGCAGGGAGACGGGCCAGAGUCCCCCGGGGGGGAAAGGGGGGGGAAAUUUUACACAGGGGGGGAGCCGGUGACGGAAAAGCGCCGUGGGGGGUAAGGCCUUUCGGGUGUUGAAACCCUUUUGCGUGUGACGAAGGGUGGGUGAGGGGAAUGGGUAAAAAAGCACCCGGUAAAUACGU
rnacentral:rRNA from 1 species